AUUGAACGCUGGCGGUAGGCCUAACACAUGCAAGUCGAACGCGAAAGUCCUUCGGAUGAGUAGAGUGGCGGACGGGUGAGUAACGCGUAGGAAUCUAUCCUGUAGUGGGGGAUAACGUUUCGAAAGGAACGCUAAUACCGCAUACGCCCCAAGGGGGAAAGCGGGGGAUCUUCGGACCUCGUGCUAUAGGAGGAGCCUGCGUCGGAUUAGCUAGUUGGUGAGGUAAAGGCUCACCAAAGGCGACGAUCCGUAGCUGGUCUGAGAGGAUGAUCAGCCACACCGGAACUGAGACACGGUCCGGACUCCUACGGGAGGCAGCAGUGGGGGAAUAUUGCGCAAUGGGCGAAAAGCCUGACGCAGCCAUACCGCGUGUGUGAAG
rnacentral:rRNA from 1 species